rnacentral:misc_RNA from 1 species
GACGAGCCACACAAACGUUAUUCGGAAUUACUGGGCUUAAAGGGUGCGUAGGCGGCGCGGAAAGUUGGGUGUGAAAUCCCUCGGCUCAACCGAGGAACAGCGCUCAAAACUACCGUGCUCGAGGGAGAUAGAGGAAUGCGGAACUUACGGUGGAGCGGUGAAAUGCGUUGAUAUCGUAGGGAACACCGGUGGCGAAAGCGGCAUUCUGGAUCUCUUCUGACGCUGAUGCACGAAAGCUAGGGUAGCAAACGGG